rnacentral:rRNA from 1 species
AGCGUACACGGUGGAUGCCUAGGCAAUCAGAGGCGAUGAAGGACGUGCUAAUCUGCGAUAAGCGUCGGUAAGGUGAUAUGAACCGUUAUACCCGACGAUUUCCGAAUGGGGAAACCCAAUAUCCAAUGGAUAUUAUCAUGACGUGAAUACAUAGCGUCAUGAAGCGAACCGGGAGAACUGAAACAUCUCAGUACCCCGAGGAAAAGAAAUCAACCGAGAUUCCCCUAGUAGCGGCGAGCGAACGGGGAACAGCCCAGAGUCUUAAUCAAUAGCAGCAUCAGGAGAACGGUCUGGAAAGUCCGGCAGUAAAGGGUGAUAGCCCCGUAUCCGAAGAUGCUGUUAUUGUGAACUCGACGAGUAGGGCGGGACACGUGUUAUCCUGUCUGAAUAUGGGGGGACCAUCCUCCAAGGCUAAAUACUCCUGAUUGACCGAUAGUGAACCAGUACCGUGAGGGAAAGGCGAAAAGAACCCCGGCGAGGGGAGUGAAAAAGAACCUGAAACCGUGUACGUACAAGCAGUAGGAGCCUCUUUAUGGGGUGACUGCGUACCUUUUGUAUAAUGGGUCAGCGACUUAUAUUCUGUAGCAAGGUUAACCGUAUAGGGGAGCCGUAGGGAAACCGAGUCUUAACUGGGCGAAUGAGUUGCAGGGUAUAGACCCGAAACCCGGUGAUCUAUCCAUGGGCAGGUUGAAGGUUGGGUAACACUAACUGGAGGACCGAACCGACUAAUGUUGAAAAAUUAGCGGAUGACUUGUGGAUGGGGGUGAAAGGCCAAUCAAACCGGGAGAUAGCUGGUUCUCCCCGAAAGCUAUUUAGGUAGCGCCUCGUGAACUCAUCUUCGGGGGUAGAGCACUGUUUCGACUAGGGGGUCAUCCCGACUUACCAACUCGAUGCAAACUGCGAAUACCGAAGAAUGUUAUCACGGGAGACACACGGCGGGUGCUAACGUCCGUCGUGAAGAGGGAAACAACCCAGACCGCCAGCUAAGGUCCCAAAGUCAUGGUUAAGUGGGAAACGAAGUGGGAAGGCUCAGACAGCCAGGAUGUUGGCUUAGAAGCAGCCAUCAUUUAAAGAAAGCGUAAUAGCUCACUGGUCGAGUCGGCCCGCGCGGAAGAUGUAACGGGGCUAAACCAUGCACCGAAGCUGCGGCAGCGACACUAUGUGUUGUUGGGUAGGGGAGCGUUCUGUAAGCCUGCGAAGGUGUACUGUGAGGUAUGCUGGAGGUAUCAGAAGUGCGAAUGCUGACAUAAGUAACGAUAAUGCGGGUGAAAAACCCGCACGCCGGAAGACCAAGGGUUCCUGUCCAACGUUAAUCGGGGCAGGGUGAGUCGACCCCUAAGGCGAGGCUGAAAAGCGUAGUCGAUGGGAAACGGGUUAAUAUUCCCGUACUGGUGGUAACUGCGAUGGGGGAACGGAGAAGGCUAGGUUGUCCGGGCGACGGUCGUCCCGGUUCAAGCAUGUAGGCAGAGUGAUUAGGCAAAUCCGGUCACUUAAUGCUGAGGUGUGAUGACGAGCCACUAAGGUGGUGAAGCAAUUGAUGCCCUGCUUCCAGGAAAAGCCUCUAAGCUUCAGGUUACCAACAAUCGUACCCCAAACCGACACAGGUGGUCAGGUAGAGAAUACUCAGGCGCUUGAGAGAACUCGGGUGAAGGAACUAGGCAAAAUGGUGCCGUAACUUCGGGAGAAGGCACGCUGGCGGUAAGUGAAGUCCCUUGCGGACGGAGCCGAAGCCAGUCGAAGAUACCAGCUGGCUGCAACUGUUUAUUAAAAACACAGCACUGUGCAAACACGAAAGUGGACGUAUACGGUGUGACGCCUGCCCGGUGCUGGAAGGUUAAUUGAUGGGGUUAUCCGUAAGGAGAAGCUCUUGAUCGAAGCCCCAGUAAACGGCGGCCGUAACUAUAACGGUCCUAAGGUAGCGAAAUUCCUUGUCGGGUAAGUUCCGACCUGCACGAAUGGCGUAAUGAUGGCCAGGCUGUCUCCACCCGAGACUCAGUGAAAUUGAACUCGCUGUGAAGAUGCAGUGUACCCGCGGCAAGACGGAAAGACCCCGUGAACCUUUACUAUAGCUUGACACUGAACAUUGAGCCUUGAUGUGUAGGAUAGGUGGNAAUGGCGUAAUGAUGGCCAGGCUGUCUCCACCCGAGACUCAGUGAAAUUGAACUCGCUGUGAAGAUGCAGUGUACCCGCGGCAAGACGGAAAGACCCCGUGAACCUUUACUAUAGCUUGACACUGAACAUUGAGCCUUGAUGUGUAGGAUAGGUGGGAGACUAUGAAGUGUGGACGCCAGUCUGCAUGGAGUCAACCUUGAAAUACCACCCUUUAACGUUUGAUGUUCUAACCUAGGCCCGUAAUCCGGGNGGAGACUAUGAAGUGUGGACGCCAGUCUGCAUGGAGUCAACCUUGAAAUACCACCCUUUAACGUUUGAUGUUCUAACCUAGGUCCAUAAUCUGGAUCGGGGACCGUGUCUGGUGGGUAGUUUGACUGGGGCGGUCUCCUCCUAAAGAGUAACGGAGGAGCACGAAGGUUGGCUAAGCAUGGUCGGACAUCAUGCGGUUAGUGCAAAGGCAUAAGCCAGCUUGACUGUGAGAGUGACGGCUCGAGCAGGUACGAAAGUAGGUCUUAGUGAUCCGGUGGUUCUGAAUGGAAGGGCCAUCGCUCAACGGAUAAAAGGUACUCCGGGGAUAACAGGCUGAUACCGCCCAAGAGUUCAUAUCGACGGCGGUGUUUGGCACCUCGAUGUCGGCUCAUCACAUCCUGGGGCUGAAGUAGGUCCCAAGGGUAUGGCUGUUCGCCAUUUAAAGUGGUACGCGAGCUGGGUUUAGAACGUCGUGAGACAGUUCGGUCCCUAUCUGCCGUGGGCGUUGGAAGAUUGAGAGGGGUUGCUCCUAGUACGAGAGGACCGGAGUGAACGCACCACUGGUGUUCGGGUUGUCAUGCCAAUGGCAUUGCCCGGUAGCUAAGUGCGGAAGAGAUAACCGCUGAAAGCAUCUAAGCGGGAAACUUGCCUCGAGAUGAGUCUUCCCUGUCACCUAGAGUGACCUAAAGGAACGUUUAAGACUAAGACGUUGAUAGGCUGGGUGUGUAAGCGUAGCGAUACGUUGAGCUAACCAGUACUAAUGAACCGUGAGGCUUAACC